AGAAGAGGAUUUCCAUAUCCAUCUUUCAUGCAGAGGACGCCUCGUCUUCAUUCAAACAAAAGCCACUGGAGUUCCUCUUUCGGCAUUCAUUUACACUGCUAGGAAUUUGCGAUCGGGAGAUUUUUUAGGUCUCAAGGCCUCAAGGCUGUCAAUGUCGACCAGCUCCUCACCGAUCAGCCCCACGUUUCCGCCCUCGUCCGUGAAUCCCUCAACCGCGGUGUGUUUGAGGGGACAAAAUGAGGGGACAAAGUGGAUUUAUCACAAACAUCAUAGUGUGCCCCACCUAUCUUCUGUGGUGUGUUUUCUGAUGUAGGACUUUGUCACAGGCCUGCCUUCAGAAGCGGGUGGGCGCACUGUAAUGUUUGUGAAAUAAGUACAGGAUAUGGAGGCAUGAAAAAUGUGGUGUGGUCAGUUGUAAAGGAACAACAUGUUUGGGCAUGGAAGUAUCAUGGGUAGUUCCCAUAUGGUGAAAUCUUUCUUGGUAGAAUAAGGCGUGAGUUUGGAUACGGUUCCUAGUCAAUGGCCGAGGUUCCGUGAAUGUGGGGCCAAUGUUUUCUAACAUAAAAGGUCCCGUCGGUGGGCCCCACCAUAGCUGGCGGAUGAAAAAAAACCAUUGAUCUGAUAGUUCCACUAUCAUUUCUGAAAAGAUCAUUCGUAAGAUUCUCAAAAGAAUCUGUCAAGCUUUUAGUUAGACGUUGUACCAGAUUAGUUUCGACCAACGGUUUAGAAUUUAGAAUGCUUUGUUAUCUAUCUUUGUACAUGGACUUGUCAAAGAACAGCUCUUUAGAUGUUUGGUAUUUGGUUAUUUUGUAAUUUCUAUUGCUAAAUUAUUUUAAUUGCGCGUUUGUUGAGUUGGUUGCUUUUUUUAA